UACGUAGGAGGCAAGCGUUGUCCGGAAUCACUGGGCGUAAAGCGCGUGUAGGCGGCUCGCUAAGUCUGUGGUGAAAGCGCCUGGCUUAACCGGGCGAGGUCCAUGGAAACUAGCGGUCUGGAGGCCGGUAGAGGGGGGUGGAAUUCCGGGUGUAGUGGUGAAAUGCGUAGAGAUCCGGAGGAACACCAGUGGCGAAGGCGGCCCCCUGGGCCGCGCCUGACGCUGAGACGCGAAAGCGUGGGGAGCGAUCCGG
rnacentral:rRNA from 1 species